CCCCCUUUUUAAUUAACUCACGGGCGAAGUAUCCGUCAAUCCAAAUAUCGUUACUCACAAAACAUGUAACCGCAACGUCUAGAGCCGUCUCUCCAUCACGAUUUAAGGCACCGAAGGGGAAGUCAGGAAUUGAUAACAUGUGCAGCUACUACCUCUCUUGCAAAACUGCAAUUUGUAGCAAGUUGUACCCCAUGCUGUCCUCCACAGUGUACCACUUAGGAGAGUCCAGCAAAUCUCGAAGGAGGUCCACAUUGUUUUGGACGACUGCACAAAUUAAACGCGACCUUUUUUUGAUCUGCAAAGACUGGUUAGGUGUGCCAUGUUGUGGUUAUGUUUACCAGAGGGGGGCCCUCCUCCUCUUCAUAGAACUCGGUAUUGUACUGCACGUACUCGUACUCGUCUUGGGACACGUCUGAAGACAUUUUGACUGGGAAUUAUGACUCUGAAGGACUUAAUCCCCAGAAUUACGAUAUCAUUCAAAAAAAAAGUGGGAGGGGUUGGGUUUAAGAGAAACACUCUUGUAAUUCUUUUCUUUUAUUUCUUGCUGCUUGAGAUUCAAAAUUUAAUUUUAUUUAUGCGUUUUUAACUACAAUAAACGUCUGCAUGUAUGGCAAAACUUUUGUACAUAAAAACCUCAACUGCUACAACGUAUUUCCAAAUGCAACUCCACACUUACAAACUAAAAGAUUACGAAAAAAUUAACUACAGACCGCUGUAAUGAGCACGAAACAUCACAAUAAGAAAAUAAACAAAGAUUCGAUCGUAAUAUCGCUGUGGCUACAAAAAUAAGAUUCACUAACAAACU